GAUGAACGCUGGCGGCGUGCCUAAUACAUGCAAGUCGAGCGAACAGACGAGGAGCUUGCUCCUCUGACGUUAGCGGCGGACGGGUGAGUAACACGUGGAUAACCUACCUAUAAGACUGGGAUAACUUCGGGAAACCGGAGCUAAUACCGGAUAAUAUAUUGAACCGCAUGGUUCAUUAGUGAAAGACGGUUUUGCUGUCGCUUGUAGAUUGAUCCGCGGCGCAUUAGCUGGUUGGUGGGGUAACGGCUUACCAAGGCUGCGAUGGGUAGCCGGCCUGAGAGGGUGAGCGGCGGCAUAGGUCCUGAGGGAGGGGCCAGAGUGGUAAGUGAGGCAAAGGGGGGAAAGCUUGGAGAAAGGGCGGAAGCGUGAUGCAGGAGCGCUGCGGGCGGGAAGACGGCUUUUGGGGUGUAAACCAAUUUGGCAAGUAACGAAGCGUGUGUGACGGUAAUGGAUAAAGAAGCCCAGGCUAAAUAAGUG
rnacentral:rRNA from 1 species